rnacentral:lncRNA from 1 species
AAUAAUUAGUGUGCAAGUUGACUAUCCCUGAGAUGACAAAAUAUGUGGAGAAAGCUAUUGAUGGUCUGUGCACCCGUUAUAAUAUCUCAAUGUCAGUUUAGUUACCAAGUACAAGUUCUAUUCACUACACUUUUGAGUAAGGACCACUACUUAUCCUCUGAUGAACUGAUGAUGGAUUUUAUCCCUAUCUCUAGUUUAGUGUAACCUUUUUGCUAAAUUAGCUGUAUGAGGACGCCUUUAUCUUUCUGAUUGAUACUAAGAUGUCAGUGAAGUGUUGUCAAAUAUCUUCCCUUUUGUAAAUUUUUUAUGCUUUGUUAUCAUUUCCUAUGUGCUUAAUGAGCAAGUCGGGAAUGCAAAAACUUUGCAAUAACUUCUGUUGACUACACAUUUGUAGUUAAACUUAAAAACUCACUUCUGUUGCUGUAAGUAGUGUUGGAAAAUUCAGUGCAACUUUAACUUGGUUGGAUGUGAAAUAUUUUCAAUUAGCCCUGUGCAGUGAACACCGUUAAACUUAUGGUCUACUUCAUCUCGCAACAUUCAAUAAAAGUUAUAUUGGACAGAAAUGAAAAGCUUUAUUUAUACUAAGGCAAUUUACUCUCACCUCUCUGGUACUUAUUGAUGUAGUAUUCUAUAUUCCUAUGUUAAACAUUUACCUAAUUGACUUUGUUAAAGCUUGCGUGUAACAUAUUGAUAUUUUUUCCUGUAUGAUAUAGUCACUUUCCCAUUUGGCUGUGAAGGCAACGUUCCUUUAAUACUAAGAUGGGUUUAAACUUUCCUUUGCAGAUAGCCUUCUUCACAUCAAUCGGACAGUUGAAUCCCAUUUGUUGUGAUGGCGUGGUCGUUGUUUCGAUGUCCGUAGAUAAUUAGUAGAGUACAGACACAUAGAAACAUCGAAUAGUUCAUGAGCAUAGGAAAGUAUGUAAUAUCAAGAGAGUUUAUCGGUAUCGGUAUCCCAUUUUUUUCCUGACUUCAGUCAGUAUCAAAGCAGGCCAUUAUGUGGUAUAUAUUGUCAUCGAUGUCAAAUAUGUGAGCUAUAGGCUCUUGGAUGUGAAAUAUGUGAUUUUAUGGAAAUAUAUGUGUCAUAUAUAUUUCAGUGGAAAUUGGAU